AUUGGGCUGAACAGACCAUUGAUUUGAUUUCCUGCUAUAUUUCUCCUCUUUAAGGUUUAGAAAGCCAGUGUAACGUGUUUUACAACGGACCAAGGCCUGAAGAACCUGGAGUGCAAUUAAGGGCCCUCAGAUCCAGCCUCAACUGGCAGUCUGCUCGUGUUAUAACAGUUCAUAAGAAAUUCAAGUUCAAACCAGAGUUCCUACUCUGGAACCUCAUGGGCCUUGGGAAGGCUCUGUCAGGUAAGAAAUUUUUCUUGUAUAAAAUUGGGAAUAAGAAUCACCUAGUUGGAAAAGUUCAGAAAUGAGACCAUUUCUUAUAAGAAAGAUGAUGGUAACUUUUACUGUUUCUUUUCUGGAGGGCACAGAGGAAAUCCUGGGCUGCAAGUAGUGCAGAACUCAAAUUUUUAAAGACUUAACGUUCCCUAAGCAGAAGUGGUACACCUUGUUAAGGAAGAAGAGGCAGUUCUGAGAGGAGCUUGUUGUGAGCAGGUCUUUCCAAGGAUCUCUUUCUGAGGCCAUGUGCUUUCGUGCUUUGCUAGAGAGGUCUUAUGCUCCUCCAGGCUCUGGUUUAAACCAUGCUUUGGCAACUUUCUCUUUGCUUCAUUAUUGGCGUUAUCUUACAUCUCUACAGCAGAGCCUGUAAGGUAGUACUUUACAUGACCUUGAUGUUUUCUCACUACCAACAGCAAC
rnacentral:lncRNA from 1 species